rnacentral:rRNA from 1 species
GACGAACGCUGGCGGCGUGCCUAAUACAUGCAAGUAGAACGCUGAAGGGGGAGCUUGCUCUUCUGGAUGAGUUGCGAACGGGUGAGUAACGCGUAGGUAACCUGCCUGGUAGCGGGGGAUAACUAUUGGAAACGAUAGCUAAUACCGCAUAACAGUAGAUGUUGCAUGACAUUUACUUAAAAGGUGCAAUUGCAUCACUACCAGAUGGACCUGCGUUGUAUUAGCUAGUUGGUGGGGUAACGGCUCACCAAGGCGACGAUACAUAGCCGACCUGAGAGGGUGAGCGGCCAAACUGGGACUGAGACACGGCCCAGAAUCCUACGGGAGGCAGCAGGAGGGAAUCUUCGGCAAUGGACGGAAGUCUGACCGAGCAACGCCGCGUGAGUGAAGAAGGUUUUCGGAUCGUAAAGCUCUGUUGUAAGAGAAGAAAGAGUGUGAGAGUGGAAAGUUCACACUGUGACGGUAUCUUACCAGAAAGGGACGGCUAACUACGUG